ACAUAUGUGCUCGCCUUCACACUCUUCAUCCACUCAACCCCUGUGCACUUUAUCAGAGUUAGUAAUAGUAUUGUGGUGGCGGCCAUUUGUUGUUAUUCAUUGUUAGAAGCGGGGGCAACCCUGUCUGGCAAUAGUAAUGAUAAUAAUCUUGGUUCUACUACUACUAUGAACACUUUGACUUUUAUUUAUACAAACACUUUGCUUGUUCUUGUGAAUGUGUAAUGCUCCUUGUGAGCGAAAUACAAAUAUACAACUUUCAACAACGGAUCUCUUGGCUCUCGCAUCGAUGAAGAACGCAGCGAAAUGCGAUAAGUAAUGUGAAUUGCAGAAUUCAGUGAAUCAUCGAAUCUUUGAACGCACCUUGCGCCCCUUGGUAUUCCGAGGGGCAUGCCUGUUUGAGUGUCAUGUAAUUCUCAAUCCUCUUCUUCUUAACUGAAGAAAAAGAGGCUUGGACUUGGAGGUAUACACAAGCUGGUACUGUUUGGUAUCGGCUCCUCUCAAAUACAUUAGCUGGACUGUAGUUCGCAUUGUUUGGUGUAAUAGUUCUAUCUUAUUUCACUACAGUGCUUACUUAGACGGGUCUGCUUCCAAUAGUCCGCCUAUGUGU
rnacentral:misc_RNA from 1 species